rnacentral:misc_RNA from 1 species
AGGAAGCAAGACUGAUGCAGA